AGAACUUUAAAACAAAACAAAACAAAAAAGGAAAUUGAAGGUGACAUUAGAGGUUGCAAAGACCUCCUUGCACUCAUGGAUAGGCAGGAUUAAUGUAUUGAAAAGUGGCUAUGUUAGAAAAAGUGAGUUGCAAAAUCAAUCCAAUUGGCAUAGAAAUUCCAAAGACGUUCUUUACAGAAAUAGCAAAACAACCCCAGAUUUCAUAUGGAAUCCUCAAAUACCCCAGUUAGACAAAGGAAUCUUGAGCAAAAAGAGCAAUGUUGAAAGGACCACAAUAUAUCAUUUCAAGUUAUACUAUAGAGUCAUUGUAAUAAAAGCAGCAUAGAUCUGGCACAAAAAAAACAGACACACAGAUCACUGGCUGGGAAUAGAAGACUCAGAAUAAAGCCCCAGAGUUAUGCUUAGAUAGUGUUGACAAUAAUGCCAGAAAAUCAAGUACAAAGGAAACAGACUCUUCAACAAAUGGGGAAACCAGACAGCCAGAUGGUAGAAGGAUACAGUUAGACCCUACUCACAUCUUACAAGGAUAAAUUCAAAAUUGACCAAAGACCUUAGUGUAGACUUUCACUCUAAAGUGUAUUAGGACAGCAUGAAGAAGUUAGGUCAAAAUACAAAAAAGGCACAGGCAAGACUUUCUGAAAGGGACUCCAACUGCACAGGAAUCACACCAAGAAUUGACCAAUACGAAGGGAUCAAGUUAAAAAGCUUCUGCACAGCCAAGGAUUUAUAACCUAUACAUCAGACAAAAGAUCAAUAUCUGAGAUAUAUAAAGAACUGAGACAAAGCUAAAUACAAUCAAAUGAAUGAGUGAAUGAAUGAAUGAAUGAAUGAAUCAACCCAGUCAAUAAUCAAACUAAUGAAAUGAAAAGACAGUUCUCAAAGCACAAAUAUUCAAUAAACACAUGGAGGAAGUGGUAGUUUCAACUGUUAGGGUAACAUAAAUUAAAACUGCUUAGAGAUCUCAUUUGGUCUUAGAGGUUCACAGUACAAUAGAUGCCGUUACCUUUUCUCUUGUGCGCUUACAGGAAGUAAUGGGUAAGAAACACUGAAGAUACCACAAGCAUGGGAUGCAGCACACGGAUAAAUCAAGCCAGAUUAAAACUGGAUGCCUCCACCCGCUGGGCUGCAUUCACAGGGCCAGAGGGUGCUAUGUACAUGCUUCUGAGGGACAAAGGGCAUCAAUGAUCUUACCUGCUAUGGAUCUGAAGUAUCACAAUACCAACCUGACAAGCAUUUUGGCUCCCAUGUGUGCUAAAAUGGUGUGACUGUUCUGUGGGUAACAAACGACUUUCAGACUGAAUUCCAAGCCUGCUUCAUUGGAAGAAACACCUGGCAUUGUAAACUUGUACAAAAUUUUAUGGCUGGGGGUGUCAUCGGACCUAGGUCAUCUUAUAACUAAUAUUACACUAACUAGGCAUGGGAGUAAAGUGUUCUUCAAAUAUUUCCCUUAAUGCCCUUACACUAGCACUGCUGCUGUUUGCAGAGGCUCAAAGCUGGUCAGAAUGCUGAGAAUAAAAGACUGUGAGGUGCUUAGCAAUAAACGGAACAACUAUAUCACUCCCUCCAAGACCCAAAGGACAACAAAGAGAAGAAGAGAAAAUAUUGUAGAGCUUGAGAGUGUGAGAGUUUCUGCAAAACAGUGUCUUCUGUCUUAUUAUUAUAUGACAAUUGUAAAGAUGAGCACACAGUAGCUAUGGCUACCUGCACUCACAAUACACAGAAAAAAAAAAAAGACCACAGUAAGGAGACUGGUUGGAAAGAAGGAGGCCUAUAGAAGUAGAAAGGGAGAUAAGAAAGGGUAAGGGGAUAUGUGUGUUCACAAAGCAUUGUAUACUUACCUAAAACAUUAAAAAAAUACAUUUAAAAACAAAACAGACUGAAGAGAUGGCUCAGCAAAUAAAAGCACUGUCUGGAUCCAUUUCAACUCCCAGCACCCACAUGGCCACUCACAACUUUCUGUGAUUCCAGGUCCAUGAGAUUCAACACACUCUUCUGAACUCCUCAAGCACCAGGCACACAUGUGAUACAUAGUCAUCAAGGUAGGCAAAACACACCUAUAAAUAAAAUACAUAAAAACAAAAAGAGACAAUAAAUGACAGUAAGACUGGGUAGGUCAUGACGGGCUUAUGCACUGCUGGUAAGAAUGUAAACUGGUCCAGCAUUGAUAGAAAGCCUUAAAAAGACUAAAAAUAGAACUACAAUGUCACCUAACUGUACCACUCAGAGAAGUGGGAUUUUUUUUCUGAGGAAUGAUAUUUACAUUAAGUCUUAAAGGAGUAAAGAAAGUUAAGGUGGAAAGGAAGAGGAAUUAUCCAGAGACAAAAAUGGGUAGAAACACUCAGAGGUAUAGAUCACAAAUACUUGAAUAUUCUAAAUGUAAUGUACUUGGGGAAUAAUUCAGAAGGCUGUCACUAGCUUAUAUUCUACUAAAGAUUCUUAGAAGUGCCCCCCCCAGAGUGUCUUAAGUUAGCUACCACAGCAUCUUAAUAUCAACUCAGGGUGUCAUUAACUCAAUAAAUAAAACUUCUCAUUUUCUUCAGUACUAUUACCCAUUAGCUAACAUUGGAUCUUUCACUUCUUAAUAAAUUGGAGAAAUAUUCUUCAGAACGUAUAAAGCACUUGCUUCUGGGGUAAAAUUUCUCCUAAUUCAUCACGGAGGAGAACACAAAGAACAGUGUGGAAUGGCUCUGGCACAUUAAACCCACGUAUUUUUACUGUCUAUUCUAGAAAAAGUCACAGCAACAACCUUUGCAGAAAUCAGCUCCUCUCCAGGCAGUCAUCAUAAACUCUCACCUAAGUUGUUAUGUUUCACGGGUCAGUGUUUGCAAGCCUUUCUUUCCUCUCCUUCCAGGUGAUCCAGUUUUAUUUGGAAAGCUUUCUAGGCUAAACACUAAGUAAAUAAAUGAAGCCAAUUGCUCAUGUUAUAAGUAUUAUUGUAAGUUGGAAUUGUGUAUUAGAUGUAGACAAUAAAUGUUUAUAAUAGCACAUAUUUCUCAAAUUUAAGUCAUACAAUUUUUGUCAUCUCCUAUCCUGUGGCAGACCCCAAGGCACAGUGUUUAUAUUGUCUUCUUCAUUAUCAGAGGCAGACUCAAGAUUCCUUUUGUACUGGCUAGUUUUGUGUCAACUUGACACAGCUGGAGUUAUCACAGAGAAAGGAGCUUCAGUUGAGGAAAUGCCUCCAUGAGAUCCAACUGUAAGGUAUUUUCUCAAUUAGUGAUCAAGGGGGAAAGGCCCCUUGUGGGUGGGACCAUCUCUGGACUGGUAGUCUUGGGUUCUAUAAGAG
rnacentral:lncRNA from 1 species